CGGAGGGUGCAAGCGUUAUCCGGAUUCACUGGGUUUAAAGGGUGCGUAGGUGGGUCUGUAAGUCCGUGGUGAAAUCUCCGAGCUUAACUUGGAAACUGCCAUGGAUACUAUAGAUCUUGAAUACUGUGGAGGUCAGCGGAAUAUGUCAUGUAGCGGUGAAAUGCUUAGAUAUGACAUAGAACACCAAUUGCGAAGGCAGCUGGCUACACAAAUAUUGACACUGAUGCACGAAAGCGUGGGGAUCAAACAGGAUUAGAUACCCUGGUAGUCCACGCCCUAAACGAUGGAUACUCGACAUUUGCGAUAAACUGCAAGUGUCUGAGCGAAAGCAUUAAGUAUCCCACCUGGGAAGUACGAUCGCAAGAUUG
rnacentral:rRNA from 1 species